UACGUAGGCAGCGAGCGUUGUUCGGAGUUACUGGGCGUAAAGCGUGCGUAGGCGGCGGUCCAUGUCUGGUGUGAAAUCUCCCGGCUUAACUGGGAGGGUGCGCCGGAAACGGGGCUGCUGGAGUGCGGGAGAGGUAAGCGGAAUUCCCGGUGUAGCGGUGAAAUGCGUAGAGAUCCGGAGGAAUACCAGUGGCGCAAGCGGCGCUCUGGGCCAUACCUGACACUGAGAUACGAAGGCAUGGGUAGCGAACGGG
rnacentral:rRNA from 1 species